rnacentral:rRNA from 1 species
UACGGGGGGGGCAAGCGUUGUUCGGAAUUACUGGGCGUAAAGGGCUCGUAGGUGGCCAACUAAGUCAGACGUGAAAUCCCUCGGCUUAACCGGGGAACUGCGUCUGAUACUGGAUGGCUUGAAUCCGGGAGAGGGAUGCGGAAUUCCAGGUGUAGCGGUGAAAUGCGUAGAUAUCUGGAGGAACACCGGUGGCGAAGGCGGCAUCCUGGACCGAGAUUGACGCUGAGGCGCGAAAGCCAGGGGAGCAAACGGG